rnacentral:rRNA from 1 species
AUUGAACGCUGGCGGCAUGCUUUACACAUGCAAGUCGAACGGCAGCGCGGGGCAACCUGGCGGCGAGUGGCGAACGGGUGAGUAAUAUAUCGGAACGUACCCAGAAGUGGGGGAUAACGUAGCGAAAGUUACGCUAAUACCGCAUACGAUCUACGGAUGAAAGUGGGGGACCUUCGGGCCUCAUGCUUGUGGAGCGGCCGAUAUCUGAUUAGCUAGUUGGUGAGGUAAAGGCUCACCAAGGCGACGAUCAGUAGCUGGUCUGAGAGGACGACCAGCCACACUGGGACUGAGACACGGCCCAGACUCCUACGGGAGGCAGCAGUGGGGAAUUUUGGACAAUGGGCGCAAGCCUGAUCCAGCAAUGCCGCGUGAGUGAAGAAGGCCUUCGGGUUGUAAAGCUCUUUUGUCAGGGAAGAAACGGUCUGGGCUAAUAUCCUGGGCUAAUGACGGUACCUGAAGAAUAAGCACCGGCUAACUACGUGCCAGCCGCCGCAGUAACAC